rfam:TPA: Bos taurus chromosome 17, whole genome shotgun sequence.
UCCCUUGUAGCUCAUUCGGUAAAGAAUCUGCCUGUGGUGCAGGAGACCCGGGUUCAAUCCCUGGGUUGGGAA